rnacentral:rRNA from 1 species
GACGAACGCUGGCGGCGUGCUUAACACAUGCAAGUCGAACGGAAAGGCCCUGCUUGCAGGGUACUCGAGUGGCGAACGGGUGAGUAACACGUGGGUGAUCUGCCCUGCACUUCGGGAUAAGCCUGGGAAACUGGGUCUAAUACCGGAUAGGAGCCAUUUUUAGUGUGAUGGUUGGAAAGUUUUUUCGGUGUAGGAUGAGCUCGCGGCCUAUCAGCUUGUUGGUGGGGUAAUGGCCUACCAAGGCGGCGACGGGUAGCCGGCCUGAGAGGGUGGACGGCCAAUUUGGGACUGAGGUACGGCCCAGCCUCCUACGGGAGGCAGCAGUGGGGAAUUUUGCACAAUGGGCGAAACCCUGUUGCAGCGCCGCCGCGGGGGGGGUGACGCCCUUCGGUUUUUAAUCUCCUUUCGCUAGGGACGAAGCUUUUUGGGAAUGUCCCUAGAGAAGGAGCCCGGGCGAACUAAGG